GAGGAGCCAGCCGGCGGAUUUGGCCUUGUCCGUGUCGAGCGCCUCGACGACCAUCCCGACGACCACCUCGUCGGGCACGAGAUCGCCGCGGUCCAUGAACUCCUUGGCGCGCACGCCGAGGUCGGUACCCGCCGCGACCGCCGCGCGGAGGAGAUCGCCCGCGGAGAUGUGCUCCAGGCCGUACUUAUCGACGAUGAGCUCGCACUGGGUGCCCUUGCCGGAGGCUGGGGCGCCGGCGAUCACGAUCUUCUUCGGGCCCGCGGCGACGGCGACGACGGCGCGGCGGGAGGAGGACGCGG
rnacentral:lncRNA from 1 species